rnacentral:lncRNA from 1 species
AAUCAUAGCAGUUAUAGCAUAAAGAAAUAAACAUUCAUAAUGAACAUGAAAAUAAAUAAUAAUUUUAUUAUUGCCUCUAGGGCAAAUUGCCUUCAUCAACCACCUGCCGCUCCAACAACGAUAGGGGCGGGGGCCCUCGGUCCUUGUUGCCGCGCGAUAUUUAGGUUUGGUUCCUGAGCAACAAUGUUAUGGUAGAUAUAGCGAAUCGUGGGGUAGAAAAAUAAAAAA